rnacentral:rRNA from 1 species
GAUGGGGGUCGGGUCUAUCGGAAACAGUCUCUCUAUUGAAAUUAAGCGUGCUUGGGCGAGAGCAGUACUAGGAUGGGUGACUCCCUAGGAAGUCCUCGUGCAUCCAUCC